rnacentral:rRNA from 1 species
AGUGAACGCUGGCGGCGUGCUUAACACAUGCAAGUCGAACGAGAACGGAUUAUAGCUUGCUAUAAUUGUCAGCUAAGUGGCACACGGGUGAGUAAUGUAUAGGCAAUAUGCCUCUUACUAAGGGAUAACAAAUGAAAACGUUUGCUAAUACCUUAUACUCCUUAGUAACAGAAGUUAAUAACGGAAUGAUUUGUUGGUAAGAGAUUAGCCUGUAUUGUAUCAGUUAGGUUGUGGUGUAAUGUCUUACGAAGACUAAGACACACAACUGGUGUGAGAGGAUGAACAGUAACACUGGAAUGAAGACACGGUCCAGACUCAUACGGGAGGCAGCAGUGGGGAAUAUUGCACAAUGGACGAUAGUCUGAUGCAGCACCGCCGCGUGGAGGAUGACACAUUUCGGUGCGUAGACUCCUUUUAUAUGUGAAGAUAAUGACGGUAUUAUAUGAAUAAGCACCGGCUAACUACGUGCCAGCAGCCGCAGUAA